rnacentral:rRNA from 1 species
UUAAAGUUGUUGCAGUUAAAAAGCUCGUAGUUGGAUUUCUGAAGAGAGACUAAGUCCGUCCUCGUUGAUGGACAGAGUCUUCUUCUUCAUCCUUCUGUAAAAGAUUCAUGGCAUUCAAUUGCUGGUUUCUGGCACAGAUAUUUUACUUUGAGAAAAUUAGAGUGUUUCAGGCAGGCUUGGCCAGAAUACAUUAGCAUGGAAUAAUAAAAUAGGACUUUGACUCUAUUUGUUGGUUUAGAGUACAAAGUAAUGAUUAAUAGGGACAGUUGGGGGCAUUAGUAUUUAAUUGUCAGAGGUGA